rnacentral:rRNA from 1 species
GGUUCGAUUCUGCCCAGAUUGAACGCUGGCGGGAUGUUUGGCGCUACGCAGUCGACUGCAGCACGGACUUCAAGUCUGGUGGCGAUAAGAACGGUGAGUAAUGUAUCGGAACGCCUAGUAGUGGGGAUAACUACGCAGCAGUAGCUAAUACCGCAUAGCCACCCUUCGGGGAAAGCGGGGACCCUGGGCCUCGUAAUCAUUAGAGCGGCCGAUAUCGGAUUAGCUAGUUGGUGGGGUAACGGCUCACCGCGUUAUGAUCCGUAGCUAUUUGAGAGGACGACUCAGCCACACCGGAUCACGGGCCCAGACCUUGCCGGAGGCAGCAGGGGAAUUUCGGACAGAAUGGAAACCUGAUCCAGCCAUCCUGCGUGCGACAGAAGGCUCGGGCUAAAGCACUUGCGGCAGGAAGCAAACGGCACGGGAUAAUACCCCGUGCAACUGACGGUACCUGCAGAAUAAGCACCGGCUUGACCAUGCGCCAGCAGCCGCGGUAAUACGUAGGGUGCAAGCGUUAAUCGGAAUUACUGGGCGCAAAGCGUGCGCAGGCGGUUCGGAAGAUGGAAAUCCCAGAGCUUAACUUUGGAACUGCAUUUCCUUAACUACUGAGCUAGAGUGUGUCAGAGGGAGGUGAAUUCCGCGUAGCAGUGAAAUGCGUAGAUAUGCGGAGGAACACCGAUGGCGAAGGCAGCCUCCUGGGGAUAACACUGACGCUCAUGCACGAAAGCGUGGGGAGCAAACAGGAUUAGAUACCCUGGUAGUCCACGCCCUAAACGAUGUCAACUAGCUGUUGGGGCCCGGCCUUGCAUGCAGCUGAUCAUGAAGUUGACCGCCCGGGGAGUACGGUCAAAAAGAUUAAAACUCAAAGGAAUUGAUUUGUCCACAAGGUGGAUGAUGUGGAUUAAUCUGAUGCAACGCGAAAACCUUACUCUACCCUUGACAUGUCUGGAAUCCCAAGAGAUUUGGGAGUGUCGGCAGAGAAACGUUCAUGGUGCUGCAUGGCUGUCGUCAGCUUCGUGUCGUGAGAUGUUGGGUUAAGUCCCGCAACGAGCUUUAAAGCAACCCCUUGUCAUUAGUUGCUACGAAAGGGCACCGACGAGACUGCCAGAUAAACCCGAUAUGGGGAUGACGUCAAGUCCUCAUGGCCCUUAUGGGUAGGGUCAACACGUCAUACAAUUGUCGGGACAGAGGGUCGCCAACCCGCGAGGGAGCCAAUCCCAGAAACCCGAUCGUAGUCCGGAUCGCAGUCUGCAACCUGACUGCGCAGUCGGAACUAGUAAUCGCGGAUCGGCAUGUCGCGGUGAAUACGUUCCUGGCCCACACACCGCCCGUCACACCAUGGGAGUGGGUUUUACCAGAAGUAGUUAGCCUAACCGUAAGGAGGGCGGAUUACCACGGUAGGGAUUCAUGAUCAGUGGAAGUCGUAACAAGGUA